ensembl:snRNA U6 U6 spliceosomal RNA
GUGCUCACUUCAGCAGCACAUAUACUAAAAUUGAAAUGCUACAGAGAAGAUUUAACAUGGUCCCUGCACAAAGAUGACACACAAAUUCAUGGAACUUUCCAUGUUUUU